UACCCAGCAACUCUUAUCCCUUUCCUCCUCACGGUACUGGCCGGGGUACGAGCAACCUUAGGGAACAUCGAAUAACCAACCCCGGUGGGAAUUUUGGUCGUAUGCUGACAGGGAAGG
rnacentral:ribozyme from 1 species